GCAUUGAUAGCUCACUGGCAGAGUGGUGGGGCGUUGACCCAUACGGCUCGGGUUAGAGCCCCGGUCGAUGAA